GAUGAAGAACGCAGCGAAAUGCGAUACGUAAUGUGAAUUGCAGAAUUCAGUGAAUCAUCGAAUCUUUGAACGCACAUUGCGCCUGCCAGCACUCUGGCAGGCAUGCCUGUUCGAGCGUCAUUUCAACCAUCAAGCCCUAGGCUUGCGUUGGAGCCCUGCGGCUGCCGCAGGCCCCUAAAAGCAGUGGCGGGCUCGCUAUCACACCGAGUGCAGUAGAUUACUCUUCGCUCAGGGCGUGUGGCGGGUUCCAGCCGUGAAACCCCCUACUUCUCAAGGUUGACCUAGGAUCAGGUAGUAAUACCCGCUGAACUUAAGCAUAUCAAUAAGCGGAGGA
rnacentral:misc_RNA from 1 species